rnacentral:rRNA from 1 species
GGCAACAGCUCAAAUUUGAAAUCUGGCCCCCUCGGGGCCCGAGUUGUAAUUUGGAGAAGAUGCUUCGGGUGUGGCCCCGGUCUAAGUUCCUUGGAACAGGACGUCACAGAGGGUGAGAAUCCCGUACGUGCCCGGUGGCCGUGCCC